UCGGCUCCUUGCGCGCCACGCGUGAGACGUGUGUUGGGCGUGAACCCUAGCCCCCCAAUCUAGAGCCGCCACACCUCCCCCCUCCUCCUUCCCUCGUCCGCCGCCGCACUUCCUCCCUCCUCCCUCGUCGCCACACCCUCCACCCUAGCACCGCGCGCUCGUUCUGUCGUCGCAUAUACCAUCGCUGCCGGCCCCUGCCAUGGUGUCGCGGCGCUCUUCCUGCGCCCUCGCGUCCGACCUCACCAGGUCCUCGAUCUCGGCCUCAUCGGCUUGCUGCGGCGGCCGCUCUCGACGCCGUCCUUGCGACACGACAGCGGCAAACCCGAGCGCCGACAACUAAUGUGGUGGUGCAGCGGACGGCAGCCUCAGCGGGCGAGCGACGGAGACUGCAACUGGUGCACAAGCUCGCACCUCAAUGCGUCCGUGCUUGAAUAGCUCGCAUCUUCACGGCCACCAAGUGCACAGGCCAGUAGUUAAAUUUUCUGUGGAUGAGUCCUUGUCGGAUGGAUGGUGACUAACGAGAUGCACUCCUUUGCCACAAGUAAUUUUAAUAAAGGGAUUGUGUACAAGUGUUCAGAUCUUUUCUUGUGAGAAGGAUGCACAAAAUCAAGUUUUUUGUCGGUAGGAGCUUUUUUCGCUGUCCAACUGUUCAGUUCCACUGGAACAAGGGGUCCACUGGACUUCUAUUGUUUCCGAACUUGAUGUGGAUAAAAUCAACCAGAGUAUUAUGGUGAAACCAAGUUUCACCACUUGACAACUUACAGGGCCUUUCAAGGAAUUGUUCCUGUCAAAAAUGAGGGGCCAAUGUAUGAUGUUCAGUGGUCUUCUUCAGGUUCUGAAUUUGUUGUGGUCUAUGGAUAUAUCCUUACAUCGUCCUUACAUGAACCAUAACAUUUCUGGUUUAAUGUCUUUGUUUUCUACAAUUGUUCCUUGACUAAAUCUUGGUUAGGCCGGCCAGAGCACCAAUAUUCAGCCAAAAAUGCAAUCCUCUUCACGAGCUUGGUGAAGGCCAUUAUAAUACGAUAAGAUGGAAUCCUGAAGGGCGAUUUUAAGAAGAUGUGUUGAAAAGCUGUAUCAGCAUAAAAAUGGAGAAACAAAGAAGUAAUGUUCCAGUAUAUUUGCAGAGGUGAAAUAUUAACGCCAGUUCGAGCGCACCGGCCUCGAUGGCAAGAGACCACUACCAUCAGUGUAGUGGUAUAGCAUACUGUGAGCAAUCAGGAACAAAAACAGGAGGUUUAAUUUUCACAAAUCGGUACUGCAUAUUUUUCAGAAGAUAUGCAUUGUGAUUGAACAUGAGAAAUCCUUUACCUCCCUAUACUUCAAGGUGUGUUCUGCUCUAAAAUGACAAGCACCCAACGAAGUGAGAGCGCAAACCACAUGUUGAAGAGUUAUAUGCCACCUGCUAGCCCGAUGCACAUUUUUGUGAGGCAGUAUAUGAGGCUCCAGUUUGACCAUGGGAAGGAGGAAAGUUACGAAAGGACUAUUUGUCAGAAAAACUGAUGUAUCUGUUUGUUAUUCACCAUUGCUGAUUAAUUUUCAAUUUUUCAUUCUCAGUAAAACUGAUGUGUGCUGAUGGUGGCAGGGAGGUGUCGUGAGGAGAGCAAAUCUGGCAAAUGGCAAUAGAGCAGCAUGCAAGCAAAGUGUACACUUGUGCUAUGUUUUGGAGCCCCGUCGAAAGGUUUGGAGGCCCAGGAAGGUAGUGUUGGGGCGUCCGUCGGCGUGAAUGCGCUUCAAUGACUAGCACCACCGGAGUAGCAGAGAGGUGUAGGGAGGCCGUCGAACAGCCGGGAGAAAGCACCACACGAGGGUCUGAGCAAGCAUACCAGGUUUUGCAGCAUCUGCCCCCGUGAAGGCCACAAGCCGACGACAUGCCCUGAUCGUGGAGAAGCACCUAAAGAGCCCCGCAAACCCGGAAAGUGCAAGAACUGUUGAAUGGAAAGGCGCCGCAGGAACACGUGCACACGCCUACUGGGUGGUGCACAUAUGUAGUCUAGAAGAUUUAAAAUUUCGUGUGUAAUGUGUGAUUCAAGAAUUUUCUGGUGUGUGUUGUGAGCCAUGCUCCACGAUUGUUCCUCCAGUGCUUAAUCUUAGUGCUGUUGUAUUCCAUAGUGUUGUAUGGUAAGUCCGUAACUCAACAGAACUUCACAAUUAUGAUAGAAAAAAUGUUGGGCGUGAUAUCUACA